AUUCUGCCCAAGCGGGGAAGGAUGAGAAGCUUCGACCAAGGUUCGACUUGAGCGCCAGCGAGAGAGCGUUGCCGCAG
rnacentral:sRNA from 2 species